rnacentral:lncRNA from 1 species
AUUAGAGUAUCAUAAGAGAAACUAGAAGAAAGGAAAGAGACAUCUUCAAGGAUUUGAUGGGCACAGAAGAACUGCCGAGAGGGAAAUAAAUAACAAGAAUCAGCUCACCUAUCACCAAUACCAGCCUGAAAAACUAUGGAACUCUAGGCCAGAACAAGGGAUUAGUAGCUAGAAAUGCCAAAGUAUAUCCAUGCCAAAUUACCAAAAUUAGAAAGCAGCCAUCAUUCAAGAACAAAGAGCAAGCUCAAUCCUAGCGAUGAACCAUCAUAAUACUUGAUACUAGUUUGAAGUCUGAGAGAGACAAACAUGAGUCUAAUUCACAACUCAAACAAACACACAUGGAAAUCCCAAAACACAAUAGAAUGAAAAGUGCUAAAGAUAAAUACUUUGAUCCUGAUAACAGCUAUGGCUAUCAAAUCGAGGUAUGUUUCCCUUCAACGGUAUGUACAUUCCUCGAAGAAACUAUGCGAUUCCUUUCCAGGUGCCUUUGCCGCAUAAGCUCCAAAUCCUUUUCGCGUUCGUCAUUGUGUUUUUUCAUUUUUAUGAGGAU